GACGUAGGGGGCCAGCGUUGUUCGGAAUUACUGGGUGUAAAGGGUUCGUAGGCGGUGUGGCAAGUCGGGAGUGAAAUCUCUGGGCUCAACUCAGAGACUGCUUCCGAAACUGCUGUGCUGGAGUGUGGGAGAGGCGCGUGGAAUUGCAGGUGUAGCGGUGAAAUGCGUAGAUAUCUGCAGGAACACCCGUGGCGAAAGCGGCGCGCUGGACCACUACUGACGCUGAGGAACGAAGGCCAGGGGAGCAAACGGG
rnacentral:rRNA from 1 species